rnacentral:rRNA from 1 species
CGCGUAGGUGGCGCGACAAGCGUGCGGUGAAAGCCCGGGGCUCAACUCCGGGUCGGCCGUGCGAACUGUCGGGCUCGAGCAUGGUAGAGGCGGGUGGAAUUCCGGGUGUAGCGGUGGAAUGCGUAGAGAUCCGGAAGAACACCGGUGGCGAAGGCGGCCCGCUGGGCCAUGGCUGACACUGAGGCGCGACAGCGUGGGGAGCAAACA